rnacentral:lncRNA from 1 species
CCGUGCCUCCCCUGCUCAGGCUAGCAUGGUCGCGCCUUUCACCGGCCUCAAGUCCAUCGCAUCAUUCCCCGUCACCCGAAAGCUCGAGAAUGACAUUACCUCUAUUACCAGCAAUGGAGGAAGAGUUCAAUGCAUGAAGGUAUAUAUCUAUACUACUUAAUACUCAUAUAUAUAGUAUGUGCUCAUGCGGAUCUAGUAUAACAUGACAGAACAUUCUUAAUUACUUAUUGCUCUCAAAGUAGCAUAGCUUUGGAAUUUUCCUUGGAUAUGUGAAUAAUUUACAAAAAUUAUGAUUCACAGAAAUCAUGUGUGUGUCAAUGUGUGAGGACCUAAGCAUUCGCCCCUGAAGUGAAGUAGAUUUUAAUUCAAUAAUGAAAUUGAAUUGUACCUUAAUUAGCUUGCUCUCAGUGAGACAGUAACCCCACUCACAGUCUCACUAAAUAGUCGGUAAUGUAUAUUCUUAUAAAGACAUGGUCACGUUCUUCAAAUUUUGCAAUGCAAUACUGUUUCUAAAAAAAGUAUCAAGGAGAACACACCUUGGUUCUGAAAGUGAAUAAGAAAUUAGUUAGCUAACAUAUGUGAAUGGUGCAAGCGCAGGUAUGGCCACCAAUUAACAUGAAGAAGUUCGAGACACUCUCGUACCUUCCUCCUCUCACCACCGAACAAUUGGCAAAGGAGGUCGACUACCUUCUCCGUUCCGGAUGGGUUCCUUGUCUGGAAUUCGAGUUGGAGGUAACCACUUUCUUCCUACACAUUUUUCAUGUUCUCUGUUACAUGUUUCUUGACAUUGCUGAUGACAAUUGUGUGUUAAACCGAAAUGUAGCACGGUUUCGUGUACCGUGAGCACAACAAAUCCCCCGGAUACUAUGACGGACGAUACUGGGUUAUGUGGAAGCUUCCCAUGUUCGGGUGCACCGACUCAUCGCAGGUGUUGAAGGAGCUUGAUGAGUGCGUCAAGGAGUACCCCCAGGCCUACGUCCGUAUCAUCGGAUUCGACAACGUUCGCCAAGUCCAGUGCAUCAGUUUCAUUGCUCACCAGCCAGAAUGCUGAUCAAUCUGUCUGUUGAUUUCAUAUAUUUAUCUAUCUUGUUCGGCUCAUAUAUAAACUUCUUGCAAUUUCAUUUCAUUCCUUUCAGUUUUAAAUUUCUCACUUGUAUCUCCAACACAAGGAAAUUUGAACUAUAGAGGAUUAUAUGUAGCGACUGUUGGUGAUUAUAUAUAUCUACUUGUUUGUUUUCCCUGCACCUUCUAAAUACUUGCAUCAUAUGCUUUCAUGUCGUGAUGUACUUUUUUAUAUAUCUCCGAUUCUCCAUGCAGUAAUUAAGCGUGCACUGCAUCAAAAUAACAAGAAACCAUCUACAAGGAGCUUUAGUCUUUAGAUGAACAAAACGAAUACUUUCAUAACUGCAUAUACCAAAACGGCAAAACAUGUAUUAGAAUUCCAACAAAGCUGAUAAGCUUCAACAAAAUUGCAACAUCUGCUAAUGCUACAAGAAACCUAUACAGAUGGACGCAAUCAAAAUCUUAAAGUAAGCAUAUAUACAAACAUUGUGUACUUUACUUAUUAGUACUAUAUCUCUCUAACUGGGAACCCGUUUGUCUGAGCUUAUGGCUUAUGAUUUAUCGUGACUUAUUACUUAACGUGAUUUAUUUGAUAAGCUGAGAGUUUAAAAUGUCUGUUUGGUAAUUUUGACGUAUUAAUGACUUAUGAGUUAUUAAAAAUACAAUAACAACAAUAAAAGUGAUUUAUGAGUAAUUUAUAACUUAGGAGUAAUUUUUUUCAAAAAAAAAAUUCAAUAAAAUUAGCCACUGAAAAAAGUAUCUCAAAUUAACUUCUGGCUUUAAAUCAGCUUCUAGCUUAUUUCUGAUUUUAAGCCGACUUCUGACUUAUUACACAAACAGACAUUUUUCAGCUUAAAGUCAGAGAUAACUUAAAGUCCGGGCUUUAAGCCCAGACAAACAAGCUCUAGGUGGCAAGCUCUGGAUCUUCUUAGUUAGUUGAGUUAAUUAGUUGGGAAUGUUGUUAAUGUGUUUGAUAAUCCAACCUCCCCUCCCAAAUCCACCGUCGCCUCUUCUUUUCUCAUCUUUUUAGCCUUCUUUUUCAAAUUUAACAGAGCUUGAAUGAUACUCGCGACCACACUUUCGCACUCCAGUCAACUUCGGAAUGUUUGCUUUUGCGCAAUUAUUGUACUGCUUCCCUCCAUUUAUCUACCUUUAACGUAUUUUUAAUAUUUAAAUUAGAAAAUUUAAUAAAUUUCUUAAAUAACGAAGCAUAUUAUCUUACUUGCAUGAAGGUAAAUCAUACGUUCUUGUAAAUUUAAUGGUAUAAUUUAGAAAUUGGAGUUUAGAAGUACUAGAGUCAUGUAUUUUACCUGAUGGUCUCGUAUGUAAGAGCAACUCUAAUGGGGUGCCAAAAAGAGUGUCAAAGUGCCAUGUGGCAUGACGUGGCAUGACACUCUUGUUGACUCUCCAUUGGAAUGGAAGGGGUGUCAAGUAAAGUUGUCAAUUUUUGGCACCCUCCUAAAAUGAAAAGAAGUGUAUAUAUCACCCUAAAGCAUAUAGUUCCCUAUCUUUUUAUACUUAUAUUUGUAUUUUGUUUGGUUUAUAUAAAAAAAAUUAUAUUGUACAAUUAUGUGGCAACUUUGGUUGCCAACCAUUGGAGCAAAUUUUUACAAAUAAAGAGAGAGAAGAUAAAAUAAUACUACCUCCAUCCCAAAUUAGAUGUCCCCGUUGACUUUGUUCACGUAACUUUAGGUGCAUUGACCGUCUACUUCCGAAAUUUAUUUUUUUAUUUUUUCUUUUAUAAAUGAAAAUUUCAUAUUUUAAUUUUUAUUUGCAAAAAUAAAAUUUUAAAAAUGAUUUACGUAUCUAUGCGGUUAAUUAACCUUAAAUUGUGUGCUCAAAGUCAACAGAGUCAUCUAAUUUGGAAUGGAGGGAGUAAUACUUUUGAUGAUGUGUCAUUUUAAGCAACUUUAGUUGGCACCCCCAUUGGAGAUGCUUUAACUGUGUUUACACGUGGGUUUUGCUGCUUACAGAGUUACAGUUACAGCUCAUAUAACAUACUCCCGCCAUUUCACAUGUGACUUCAUCUUUUGACUAGGGUUUUGAUAUCCCAGCUUGCAUGAUUUGUGUCCAUCGGUUGCUCAGCUGAGACGAUCUUAGUGCUAUCUUAUCGAACACUCCGUGAAUCGGAGUUAGUCAGUGGAAAAUCAUGGAUUAAUCAGAUAAUCGGAGAUUAAUCGGUCCAAUAAUCGGAGUCAAUUUAAUAUUUUUUUAAUAUAUUAUAAAUUUAUAAUUUUAUAUAAUCAAAAUAGCAAAUAUUUUUAUACCUCAAACUAGGACUUUAAAAUGAUCUGGGCGAUAAUGAGUACCCAUCUCCUCAAGUAUCGGAUCAUAUUAUUUUUAGUUUGCCCAGAUUUGGGUCUGAGAUUAUUUUAUUCGGAUAUAAACCGAUCCCGGAUAUUUGAGAUCCAGAUCUAAACCGAAUAUGAUCCAAUAUCGUAUUUUCUACUUUUUAAUCGGGUAGUUUAUGAUCCGUUAAAUAUGAGCCUGAUAUGAUCCACUAAUAUUAAAUAUCAUUAUUAUUUCAAUUAUUCAAAUAAUUAUUAUUUAAUCUAAGUAAACAUACUAUUAUAAAUUAUAAUAAUUUAAAUUAAAACUUAUAAUUAUAUGUUGGUAUAUAUAUAUAUUUGAAGAUAUUUAGCAUUAUCACAUUAAAUAAAUCAUAUUUUACGAAGAUAUAAACUUAAAUAAGAUAUUAAAAUUUUAUAAAAUGAUGACUAUUUAAUUACAAAUGUGAUGUAUUUAAAAUAUAAUAUGUACAUUAGUUCGAAUCGAAUAUGAACCUUGAUUCAUAUUCGGGUAUUUGGGCAGGAUCAUAUUAUGAAUAAUUACAUGAGACCGAAUCUGAGCGGGUAUAACUGUGCUCAUAUCCGGGAUCAUAUAUUAUACGGGCUUAAUUUUUCCGCCAGAUUUGGAUCGUUUCCAAACGGAUAUGAGACAUUUAUCAUAUUUUCGAGCCGGAUUUAAGUCUAGACACCGUAUAAUCCAUAUCGAUUUACAGCCUACCUCAAACAAAUACACACACAUGUAUAUAUAUUAGCACAAACAAAAAUAUAUAUUUGUAAGUAUUUUACAUAAUUCCACGACAUAAUUUAAUAAAAAAUUGUAUCUUUAUACAUAAUUAUAUUUCCAAGUACAAUUUUUCAUAAUCGUUAAAACUGUAAUUGAAUAAUUUUCAUAUUUUUUUGAAUUUUUUAUAAAUUUGAACUAAUAGUUUUUAAUAAAAAAUAAAAAUUAAUUUUUUAAAUAUUGGACCAAAUUUUGACCAAUUUUGCCGACUUUUGACCGAUUUUACCAACUUUUAACCGAUUUUUACCGACUUUUUAAAAAAACAGUUUUUUACCCGAUUAACGAUUAAUCGAGAAGUUUUUUGUCUGAAUAGCGAUUAAUCCCUAACUAAUCGCAGACUUUUAGGACACUGCUUCCCGUAUUUAAUCCGAAAUUGAUGAGACAUUUAUUCCCACAAGAAACAAUAGAUAUCAUGAUGAGAAAAUGUCAACAAAAUACUCCCUCCGUUUUAAUUUACAUGUCCACUUUGUAAAAAAAGUUAUGUUUCAAAUUACUUGUCCACUUCAACUUUCAAUGCAAAAUCAUAUUUCCAAAGUCAAUUAUACUCCACAUAUCUCGUAUUUAUAUUUCCUACAUCAAUCUCACUCCACAUGUUAUGGUCAUUUAAUAGAAUUAAUUUGUGAACAACCACUUUUCUUAAACUGUGUGAUUUUUUGAAAGUGGACAUCUAUUUUGAAACGGAGGGAGUACAAUUUAUACCGAGAAUCGCAAGGAGUAUUUUAAUAAAUAUGCCGAUCUUAAUUACUCCCUUUGUCCCUCUUUAUCUCUCCACUUUGGAAGUAAAAAUUUGUCCCUAUUUAUCUGUCCAUUUAUACUUUUAAAACUAAUUUAAUGAUAGUUUUUCAAAUAUAUCUCCAUAAUUUCAAUUUUCAAGACUUGACUUAUUUAAAACUUAGUUGAAUUCAUGUUUUCAAGACAUAAAGUAGGGGUAUUCCACCAUUUUCAAGAUAUUAAUUAGAGGUAUUUAAUAAAAAAGUUUAUACAAUUAAUUAUUCCUUGGUAUGUGUUUUUUUUUCUCAAAAUGGACAGAUAAAAAGGGACGGAGGGAGUAACUUAUAGACACAACGUGCAGAAGAAUCCUAAAAUCUAAAAACACCACAUUUUCUAGUGUCUUGCACAUAUUUUAGGUUCUGUAAAUAGAAUUUUGAGCAAAAUCCCCUUAAUACAUAAUUGAAUAAAGACCCCUCCUAGAGAUCAACUCUGCCGGCGGAACUAGGGAAGAAACCUUAGUUCAGUCAUAAAGAUUUAUUUUUAUUUUUUUCAGAUUUUUUUAUUUGAUCUCUGGGAAAUAACAGUGAAGCAAUAACAUAUUUAUUAUGCAAAUUUUAAUUCCAGAUACGAUUCCUGUCAUUGACUAACAGGCCAAAGUCAUUUUCUUAAUGGGCUCUAUUUUCUUGACCAAAAUCAUUUUGUUUCCCCUACUAUCUUCCCUAAGCCCAUGUAUUUAAAUUUCAAUUACGCCCAACCACUAGCCCAGAGUAGUUGGGCCAUAAGUUAACCGUCCAACGUCAAAAUGAAUCAUAGGUUAAUUGAUUUUUAUUCAUAAAAACUGUAUGUACGUGAAUCCAGGGCAGAGGACGGAAGAUAAGAGCAAGUCCAACAGCUGCCCUAUUUAGUGUCCUAAGUCAUAAUAUAGGGCAUUUGAUGAAAAAACUUGAUCCAACAAUGUCCUAGUGAUGCCCUAUAUCACUAGGACAACCCAUUCAAGCCCUAUUUUUGAGGCACUCUCUCUCCUUGCCUUAUCUCAUAUUUUAUAAUAAAUUCUUACCAACACUCUCUUUCUCUCUCUAUUUUAUAUUAUGUUUUAAUGAUGAAAGAGAACUUUUAAUAAUAAAAUAUUAAACAUAUAGUGAAAAUAAGGCACAUUGUUGGAGUUGAAGUUAGUAUAAUAUGUCCUAGACUACUAGGACAUAAUUUUUUAUAUUACAUUUUGGGUUCAAACUAGGACACUGUUGGACUUGCUCUAAGUACAUAACUCAUUAUUUGGGUUAUGGGACUCAUUAUUUGAGACACUGUUGGAAUUAUAGUCUGGGUUACUUGUUAAAGUCUAACAUCACAAGUUAUUGUUCUUAAAAUUAUUAGGAAACCAGGAUUGAAGCUCAAAAUUAUCACCACUACAUCCUCCUUUCUUCGUCCCUUUUUACUUGUCACAUUGUUAUUUUUGUUGGUCAAAUUGACUAACUUUUGACCAAAGAUUAAUUACUACUCUUUCAAUAUUUUGAAAAAAUAAAAAUUAUAUCUUAAAGUAGAUUAAAAGUUAUUUCCGAUAACAUAUUUUUUUUUUUCAAUUGAUAAAAUAUUAAUAAAUUUCAGUCAAAUUUUGGUCAAUUUGACCUGCACAAAACCAAAUGUGACAACGAAAAUAGGACGGAUGGAGUAUUUCGUGGUGAAACAAAUUUGGCCUAAAUGACAGUCUUAGGGGGUGUUUAUACCGUUAUAAACGCCUUAAGACAAAAUGACUGUCUUAGGGGGUGUUUGUUUCCGGCUUAAAAGUGGUUUAUAAGUCAGAAGCACUUAUUCGUAUUGUUUGUAAAAGUCAAGAAGCAUUUAUAAAAAGCUAGGAAUGCUAACUUUUGUUUUAAGGCUUCCGUUUCUUUCCCAAACACUUUAAGCACUUAUAAGUCUUAACUUGGUUUUAACUUCUACUCCACUUUUUUAUUUCAAUCAAGAAUCACUUAUUUUAAACUCACCCAAACGGCCCCUUAAUAUGGGAUUACUACAUUUUGGACCACGAACACUGUUUGAACUAUGUGAUAUAGUUUCUUUACUAAGCCGUACUCCUUCAGUCCCAUCCAUUUCUUUACACUUUCCUCUUUUGGAUGUCCCACCCAAUUCUAUACAUUUCAAAACUUACCAAAAAUAGUCAAUGAGUCCCACCACUUCUACAUUUUUCUUUCCUUUUCACAUUACUUUAACUCCACUAUCUUCUUUUUAUACAUUAAAAAUCGAUGGAUCCACCACUUUACCUACUUUUCUCCCUCUUUUCCACUACUUUAUACAUAUUUUUUAACCUCCGUGCCCAACCCAUUCGAUAAGAAAUGGGUGGGACGGAGGGAGUACUACAAACUCUAGAACUGGAAGGACUAUGGGCCACUUAAAUGCAGCAUAUAUCUUGCAAUUUGAGCAAAAUAAUGGAGCAAAUUCCGAAUGCAAUCUAUCCAUACAUUACACUCAAGUGUGAACUAAGGGAAAGAACAAUCCGUAUAUUUUAAGGAUUCUAGUUCCUGGCAUGUGUAUGAUUUUGUUGGAUGAUAAAUGCAUCCAACGGCAUGAUUAUAACAAAAAUUCCUCAUGUCAGAAUGUUUUAUUUUUCUGCAUAUGAUAUGAAACUUGAAUAAUAAGAGGAAGGGGGAAAGUGAUGCAACUGCAAUUGAAGAAGUCAGUAGUCACUUAUUUAAAUUUCAAAGUACAAAGCCCAAAUAAGCAAUUUCCAAAGAGCUAAGCAAUGAAGGGCCAAGAAAUGGCUAGCUACUGCUAAAGAAAGCAAGUCCUCAUUCCUUGAUCAGAAGAGAUAAGGCAACCGCUCUCAUGCCACGUGUCAACUCAAUAAGAGUGUUUAAUGAUAAGGCAACCAAUCCAAAUUGCUCACACUGUGUGGCUACCAUGUUGCCUUGUCAACUUCACUGUAAUUCAAUGGUCAGAAAAAUUCUGAACUUUAGGAGGUGAAUUGGGAACCAUUGGAUCAGCAGGUUAAACGAUAAUGAGAUGAAAUGCCUAUAUAUUGGAUAGGUGAAGGAACAGAAGCAAGCCUCUCAAACACAAGAGAAGAAAGUAAAAGAACAAGAAGAGAGUAUUAGUACUCAUGGCUUCUUCAAUGAUAUCAUCAGUAGCACCGGUUACCCGUGCAUCCCCUGCUCAGGCUAACAUGGUCGCGCCUUUCACCGGCCUCAAGUCCAUCGCAUCAUUCCCCGUCACCCGAAAGCUUGAGAAUGACAUUACCUCUAUUACCAGCAACGGAGGAAGAGUUCAAUGCAUGAAGGUAUAUAUCUAUACUACUUAAUACUCAGAUAUAUUAUGUGCUAAUGAGGAACCAGUAUAACAUGGCAGAACAUUUCUUAGUUAGUUAUUGCUCAUUUGCUCUCAAAGUAGCACAAUUCUAAGUCAGAUAAAGCAGUCCUAGGUAACUUUAGAGUGAGUAACUUCAGAAUUUUCCUUGAAUAUGUCAAUAAUAUACAAAAAUUAUGUCAACACCUCGAUUAAAAGAUUGUUUUGCUUGUAUUUUCCUCCUGAGCUGAUCUGAGAAAUUUUGUUCUCAAGUCAAACAAUUAGAGACUUUAGCUCAAGAGAAAUGUCACCCCCUGGCAUUGUAGCCUGCGGGAUGUCCUCUAUAUUUUACCAUAGUAACCAUGUCGCCCCUCAAGUGAAGUAGAAUUUAAUUCAAUAAUGAAAUUGAACUACCCAGUAGAGGAAAUUUCUAGUUUUUUUGUAUAAUUUCCACCUUAGCUUGCUCUUAGUAACCCCCCUCAGUCUCAUUAAAUAGUCGGAAAUGUAUAUUCUUAUGAAGACAUGAUCACGUUCUUCAAAUUUUGCAAUCCAACACUGUUUCUAGACAAAUAUACAAUCUGUCGGUUUGUAAUUGAGUAAAUAUGACAUUCACAAAAUAUAUCAAGGAGAACACACCUUGGUUCUGAAAGUGAAUGAUAAAUUAGUUAGGUAACAUAUGUGAAUGGUGCAAGUGCAGGUAUGGCCACCAAUUAACAUGAAGAAGUUCGAGACACUCUCAUACCUUCCUCCUCUCACCACCGAACAAUUGGCAAAGGAGGUCGACUACCUUCUCCGUUCCGGAUGGGUUCCUUGUCUGGAAUUCGAGUUGGAGGUAAGCACUUUCUUCCUACACAUUUUUCAUGUUCUCUGUUACAUGUUUCUUGACAUUGCUGAUGACAAUUGUGUGUUAAACCAAUAUGCAGCACGGUUUCGUGUACCGUGAGCACAACAAAUCUCCCGGAUACUAUGACGGACGAUACUGGGUUAUGUGGAAGCUUCCCAUGUUCGGGUGCACCGACUCAUCGCAGGUGUUGAAGGAGCUUGAUGAGUGCGUCAAGGAGUACCCCCAGGCGUACGUCCGUAUCAUCGGAUUCGACAACGUUCGCCAAGUCCAGUGCAUCAGUUUCAUUGCUCACCAGCCAGAAUGCUGAUCAAUCUGUCUGUUGAUUUCAUAUAUUUAUCAAUCUUGUUCGGCUCAUAUAUAAACUUCUUGCAAUCUCAUUUCAUUUCUUUCCGUUUUAAAUUUCUUACUUGUAUCUCCAACACAAGGAAAUUGGAACUAUAGAGGAUUAUAUGUAGCGAUUGUUGGUGAUUAUAUAUAUCUACUUGUUUGUUUUCCCUGCACCUUCUAAAUACUUGCAUCAUAUGCUUUCAUGUCGUGAUGUACUUUUUUAUAUAUCUCCGAUUCUCCAUGCAGUAAUUAACCACUACGGUCUUUUUACACCAACAAAUUAUAUGAUAACAUAUAGAAACAGUUCAUUGCUUCCGUAAUAUCUGCCUUGGUACAUGUUCUCUUGUAUCACUACAAAACCUUUCACGUCCAACAAUGUGAAAGCAAAUUCUCUGUAAUAGAAAUGGACAUCUGCUAGCGACAUUUCAGAUAAUAAUAAAGUGUACUUAUGCACCAUCUGGUUGGAAGGAAUGAACGGGAAAAACAUGAACAAAAUCAAAGGUAAACGAGAAGUAUACAAGAGUGAAGAGUGAUGAAGAACUAGAAAGUGCAGACUUUAUUAUGAGUUUCACAAUAUAAUGAGUAAAAUAUAGGAAUGAUCAUUUAUCCCUAUAUUGGUAAGAUUGAGAUAUUAGUUUUUUUUUGUGUGCCAAACUAGUACAAAUUUCAUUUCAUUCUCCCUAAACGUAAUUCUUCCAACAAAAUGGGGCAUUACAUAAAGGUAUAAAGAUGAGGAGAUUAAAGAUUGACAGCUGCGAUAAGGGAAGGUAUGGAAAACAUGUGUAACUAUAUAAAUGUCGAACACCAAUAAGAUCCAAAUAACUCAGAUAACAUCCAAACUCAGUAACAAAUUGGUUAACAGAUAAAAUUCAGAAGCGAAUGCAAAAUAGUUUAUAAAAUUAGAUUCUAAGAUUCAAAAUUUCUAGUAUUCAGAUUAUAUGCAGAUGAAAGAGGAAGGGAGAUUUAUUGAAUAAUUUAGGCUUGACAAAACACAAUAAAAUGAUACACAUAGACUAGUAUACUCUAAUACUUAAUGAGCAGCAUAUAUUCUUAUUCUUAACUACCGUCUAUUCUAUUAUAUCAAAGAAACAUAAAUUAUUGCAAAGCUGUAAAUUCACAUUAAGAAGCUUAAACAAAUUACACAACUAGAAAUCAACCACUCAAAUUGGAUAUAAUUGGAUAAAUAUCUAAAGAGAUCAUAACUAAGAACCCUAAUUUCAAAGUUAUAAAUGUAUGUAUAUAAAUGAUUCAAAAAUCAGAACUCUGUAACACAAAAAAGCUAGCUGAACUGAGAUGAAGUAGAAAGCAGCAACAAAACAUUUAUGAAUUAAAUAUCUAAAGCUGAUCUAAUUACAAACAUCAACUCACAGUUAUCAAGAGGGGUGUAUUGGAUUGGGAUUUUAAAUCAUUUUUUUGCAUUCAUGAAAUCCGAGGGUAUUCGAUUGAGAUUAUUUGAAAUGCAUUAAAAUCUUGGGGUAUUCAAUUGGGAUUUUGAAUUAUGCUACAAAAUCUGGUGGUAUUCAAUUGGGAUUUUAAAUUAUGCUUUAAAAUCCGGUGGUAUUCAAUUCGGAUUGUUUAAAAUCCAUUAAAAUCUGAUGGUAUUCAAAUGUUGUCGGAUUUUUUUUCAUUUCAUAAAAUGGUGGAUUUUGUGGCAUUGUUCGAUGUAUUUUAAGUUUUAUGAAAUCCCACCAAAAUCAAUGGGAUUUUGAAGCAUUGUGCUUAAAUCCUAUCAACUCUGCGACAUUUCAUCAAGAAUCCGCACAAAAUCAAAAUCACAUGCAAUCCAUUAAAAUCCAUAGACUAAAAACAAUCCAUUAAAAUCUCAAUCGAAUACACCCCCGCAAUUUAUUAAUCAGAUGAGAGGAAGGAAGGGAGAGGGUCAGAGGGAGAGGGAGAGGGAGAGAGAGAGAGAGAGAGGAGUUACAGUGCUACGGCGACGUUCAGCGGCGAUGGAGAAGCCAAAAGCGACCAAGCAUAGUAUUAUUACAAGAAGAUGAACGAGAGAUGAGCCUUUCCCUGCCCCCAUUAUUGUUUCUAAGGGCAUCUUUGAUCACAAUUUCAAGCUUCAUAUUUUUUUCACUUUUAAUUUUAUAGAUAGAUUAAUCAAUCUCCAAUCAUCCAUUUAUCUUCCUAUGUAAAGUCAUUUACUAGAUAAAUUAUAUUAUUUUAUAAAAAAAAAUUAAAUAACGAAAUAUAUGAUCUUUCUCGGAUGAAGAUAACUUGCAAAUUUAAUGGUAUAGUUUAGAAAUUGGGGUUGAGAAGUACCAGUAGUUAUGCUAUAUUUACCUGAUGAUCUCGUAUCGUAACUUUUUUUACACGUGGGAUUUUUUUGCUUACAGCUCAUACUCUAUAACACACUUCCGCCAUUUCACAUGUGACUUCAUCUUUUGACCAGGGUUCUGUAAAUAGAAUUUUGAGCAAGAUCCCCUUAAUACAUAACUGAAUAAACAACACUCGUAGAGAUGAAUUCUGCUGGCGGAACUAGGGAAGAAACCCUAGCUUAGUCAAAGUUUUUUUUUUCUUCCAGAUAUUUGUUUUUUUUCAGAUAUUUUUUUAUUUGAGCUCUUAAAAAUAACAGUGAACCAAUAAAAAGUAUUUAUUGUGCAAAUUUUAAUUCUAGAUUAUUUUGAUUCAUGUCAUAUUGUCAUUGACUAACAGGCCAAAGUCAUUUUGUUAAUGGGCUCUAUUUUCUUGACCAAAAUCAUACUGUUUCCCCUACUAUUAUCCUGAGCCCAUGUUUUCAAAUUUCAAUUACGCCCAACCACCAGUCCAGAGUAGUUGUUGUUGGGCCACAAGGUAACCAUCCAAUGUCUAAACUAAUCAUAGUCCAAAUAAAAUUUUUUCAUAAAAACUGCGUGUACGUGAAUCCAGGGCAGAGGACUGAACAUGACUCCACUUGAGUUGAGCAAGAAAACCGCAAUCAUAUAUCUUUGAUUUUUAAAAUUGAAAACCGCAACCGUCAAUCGGGGUCGGUUUCGGUUUCGGUUUAAGAAACUUCGAUUCGGUUAAUAGUCGGCUCGGUUUCGAUUACAAAAUCGACAAAUAUAAGAAUGAAAAAUAGUACACAAACGAGACAAAUUAAUGCACGUAAUCUAGACAUAAUAAUUAAUAUAAUAUUAAAAUUUAACAAAAGUAACCGUAUUUUAUUUAAAACACUCUUGCCAGUAAUAUAAAACUAGUCUUAGUCAGAAUUUUCAUACAGAAUACGAAUCAGAACUUCCGGCUGAUUGGCUUUUUUAACACAUGCUUCAUGAAGAUUGAGAAAAUGUGACAGGGAAAAUAGGAAAUACAGAUUGGCAGUGGCCAGUCAGCAUGAGAUAUUCACUGAACAUCAAAUAUUAACAUAGACGGAUGUUUCUGUAAGUGUUAGAAUAGAUUUAUUAUAUUUAUUACAUAUUACAUAUAUUAUUUAUUAUUAUUUUAAUAACCGGUUCCGUUUGGUUUUUAUUGGUUCGGUUGGGAGGUAUAACCGGAACCAAACCGUUUAAAUCAGAUCAAUUUUUAAUUUUUCGGUUUCUAAUUGGUUUUUUUGAGUUUUUCCAAAUUUCGAUUCGUUUUGAUUUUAAAUCGGUUUUUUGCUAAGUCCUAAAUUAAGGUAUGGGUUCAAUUAUAGACAAGGUUAAGCUUACUUUUUAAAAAGUCUAACAUCACAAGUAAAUGGUUCACAAGUAAAUGGUCUUAAAACUAUAAAGAAACCAGGAUUGAAGCUCAAAAAUUAUCACCACUACACCCUUUUUUCGUGGUGCAACAAAUUUGGCCUAAAUCAAACGCAAAUCAAACGCAUUUAUACAAGACAAAUGACAGUCUUAAUAUAGGAUUACCCCAUUUUGGUUCAACCAUGAACACUGUUUGAACUAUGCGAUAGUUUCUUUACUAAAAUAUACUUCAGACUCUGGAACUGGAAGGACUAUGGGCCACUUAAAUGCAGCAUAUAUCUUGCAAUUUGAGCUCGAUAAUGGCAAAUUCCAAAUGCAAUCUAUCCACACAUUACACUCAAGUGCGAAAGAAUGAUCCAUGUAUUUUAAGGGUUUUGGUUCCUGGCAUGUGUACAUCAGGGAGUACUUAUAUAACAUACUGAUUUUGGAUCGUUGGAUGAUAUAUGCAUCUAACGGACAUAAUUAUAAAAAAAAUUCGUCAUGCUCAAUUUUUUUUUAUUUGUUUUUUUGCAUAUGAUAUGUAACUUGAAUAAUAAGAGGAAGGGGGAAAGUGAUGCAACUGCAAUUGAAGAAGUCAGUAGUCACUUAUUUAAAUUUCAAAGUACAAAGCCCAAAUAAGCAAUUUCCAAAGAGCUAAGCAAUGAAGGGCCAAGAAAUGGCUAGCUACUGCUAAAGAAAGCAAGUCCUCAUUCCUUGAUCAGAAGAGAUAAGGCAACCGCUCUCAUGCCACGUGUCAACUCAAUAAGAGUGUUUAAUGAUAAGGCAACCAAUCCAAAUUGCUCACACUGUGUGGCUACCAUGUUGCCUUGUCAACUUCACUGUAAUUCAAUGGUCAGAAAAAUUCUGAACUUUAGGAGGUGAAUUGGGAACCAUUGGAUCAGCAGGUUAAACGAUAAUGAGAUGAAAUGCCUAUAUAUUGGAUAGGUGAAGGAACAGAAGCAAGCCUCUCAAACACAAGAGAAGAAAGUAAAAGAACAAGAAGAGAGUAUUAGUACUCAUGGCUUCUUCAAUGAUAUCAUCAGUAGCACCGGUUACCCGUGCAUCCCCUGCUCAGGCUAACAUGGUCGCGCCUUUCACCGGCCUCAAGUCCAUCGCAUCAUUCCCCGUCACCCGAAAGCUUGAGAAUGACAUUACCUCUAUUACCAGCAACGGAGGAAGAGUUCAAUGCAUGAAGGUAUAUAUCUAUACUACUUAAUACUCAGAUAUAUUAUGUGCUAAUGAGGAACCAGUAUAACAUGGCAGAACAUUUCUUAGUUAGUUAUUGCUCAUUUGCUCUCAAAGUAGCACAAUUCUAAGUCAGAUAAAGCAGUCCUAGGUAACUUUAGAGUGAGUAACUUCAGAAUUUUCCUUGAAUAUGUCAAUAAUAUACAAAAAUUAUGUCAACACCUCGAUUAAAAGAUUGUUUUGCUUGUAUUUUCCUCCUGAGCUGAUCUGAGAAAUUUUGUUCUCAAGUCAAACAAUUAGAGACUUUAGCUCAAGAGAAAUGUCACCCCCUGGCAUUGUAGCCUGCGGGAUGUCCUCUAUAUUUUACCAUAGUAACCAUGUCGCCCCUCAAGUGAAGUAGAAUUUAAUUCAAUAAUGAAAUUGAACUACCCAGUAGAGGAAAUUUCUAGUUUUUUUGUAUAAUUUCCACCUUAGCUUGCUCUUAGUAACCCCCCUCAGUCUCAUUAAAUAGUCGGAAAUGUAUAUUCUUAUGAAGACAUGAUCACGUUCUUCAAAUUUUGCAAUCCAACACUGUUUCUAGACAAAUAUACAAUCUGUCGGUUUGUAAUUGAGUAAAUAUGACAUUCACAAAAUAUAUCAAGGAGAACACACCUUGGUUCUGAAAGUGAAUGAUAAAUUAGUUAGGUAACAUAUGUGAAUGGUGCAAGUGCAGGUAUGGCCACCAAUUAACAUGAAGAAGUUCGAGACACUCUCAUACCUUCCUCCUCUCACCACCGAACAAUUGGCAAAGGAGGUCGACUACCUUCUCCGUUCCGGAUGGGUUCCUUGUCUGGAAUUCGAGUUGGAGGUAAGCACUUUCUUCCUACACAUUUUUCAUGUUCUCUGUUACAUGUUUCUUGACAUUGCUGAUGACAAUUGUGUGUUAAACCAAU